GCGACCCCAGGAUGGGCGGGGCCACCCCGUC
rnacentral:rRNA from 1 species